GUUCCAAAACAACUUUGGUGUUAAACAUGAUUCAAAAGUAGAUGGGAUUGUUAAGGCUGACAAGGAGCCAAAUUGCCCGGUGAAUAACAAUGAGAAGCUUGCAGGUUUUAUAUUAAGUAGACCUGAAUCAGGAUUACCUGCACUUGGUCAAGUAUCUUCUGUAAAGAAUCAUGGGGAUUCUGCGUUGGAUCUCUUGCAGCUCAACUUGGGCAAGGCUGUUGGAAUGAGGUGUACAGAUGAUAAUAGUCUUGAGCAAUCUCAGUUAGCUUCUAAGGAAGAGAAUUUAAUUUACAAUGUUACUGAAAACCCAUCCACGGGUGAUGUUACCAAACCAGCGCAAGGAGACAUUGUUAUAGAUAUUGAUGAUCGAUUUUCUCGUGAUUUCUUAUCUGAUAUAUUCUCCAAAGCAAUACCUUCUGAGGAUUCAUUAGAUAUUAGCGGCCAACUGCACAAUGAUGGAACUGGUUUGA
rnacentral:misc_RNA from 1 species